GUGAUGCCCUUAGAUGUUCUGG
rnacentral:siRNA from 1 species